GAUUGCAUGAAGAGCACUGAAGGAGGUACAGAACUAAAUAAGGACUGAGGCACAGGUACAGAUGAAGCCAUGAGAACAUUAAAGGUGAAGAUGAGGAACUGAAUUUGACAUGGGAAAGGACAGGAAUCAAUGGAGGGCUUAAGAGGGUCCGGACAAAGCGUUAGAAGAAAGAUUAUUUUAACUGUGGCAUUUUGGAUAGGCUGGAGAGAAGAAAGCUAAAAAAACAGACAGGAGGCUGGUCAAGCAGUGAGUCCUGUGGAGAAGCGGAAAGGAACAUUAUUUCCUGUAGUUCACCAUCUGUAGAUGAGGGGUACUACAGAAAUGCAACAUACCUGGGCAUGAAGCCUCCAGAACUUCGGAAGUUCCAGCUGGUACAGAAUACUGCAGUGCAUCUCUCUAGUGACAUUGGCUACUGGAAACACAUCAAAAUCUACCCUUCCCUCCCGACACUGGCUUCAAAUCACAUUCAAGGUCUUGGUUCUUGUCCUCAAGGUGUUCAGUGGACUGGGUUCCAAGAGAACAACUGAAGCUCUGCGAUGAAGACUGUGGUCAACAACUUUGCUCCUAUUGCACAACAAAGAUCUCUACAAUAAGAGUAAAGUUCAUCUGUGAGAGAGACAGAACUUUCUCAGAUGCCAGUUCAAGACUGUGGAAUGAACUUGCACAUGAACUAAAGACCAUUACAAACCUCAACACUUUCUGCUCCAAAUGCAAAGUGCAUUUCUUUGACCUAGUCUUCUCUAACUUACAGACAUGUUGCUAUAAGUUAAAAAAACAUUCCACUGCACGUACUUCUUCCCCUAGGGAGAAGAGAAGAGAACAAACACAUGACAGCUCUUACUUACAUUACUUAAUGCACUGGGGGGGGGGGGCAUUUGGAGACUAUAGAAUAAGAAACUGUAUAGAAUAACCUAGACUAGAAAGGAUGAAGUUCAACAGUUCUAUACAUUCUGUAUGAACAAGCAUCCAACCCUGCUGUGAAGUUCUUUGUUCUGGAAACUGGUUGUAAAGUUUGUAAUAGGCUCUUUAAAAAACUAUUUCCAGUACUCUGUUGGUACUGACUGUGGAAGCUCAGACCUCAGCAGUGCUUAGGAGGGUUUUUCCAUGUUCAAAAUAUGUGGAUAUUACAGACUGAUAGAGAUAAUGUGGUUCAGAUUUCAGUUGAGGUUUGCUUAUCUUUGGUAUGUGUCUAUAUCCAUUUCUGGUCCCAGUCAAAACCAGAAAGCUUUGGGAUACAUGAAUUUUGUUUUAAAUUUUAGUUUUUCUGAAAUCCCUCCCCCCCCCCCCCCAGUUUUAAUUCCAUGCUCAUCACUGUAGCACAGCACGUUAGUAAUUUCAUGCUUCACUCAUUUUAUCCAAACCACUUUUUAUAACCUUCAUGCUAAUUCAGUAGCCACAAGAGGCACAGCAAAACUGUAAAAUGGCUGGGAGUAGCCGGCUGCCAGGUUGGUAGUCUCAGAGACACCAAAAGCUGAUAGCAUAGGGACUAAGUUAUCUACUUUUAUGUGGCAGUUCCUCCAGAUUAGGAAGAAGCACCCUACUGGGAAAUUAUGGGGAGACUGGCAGUGCCAUUAUACUGUGCACAUUGUAUCGGUUUGGUAUGUAAGUAGAGAACUUCAUUCUUACUCUGACAAAAAUCAAAUAAAAGAAAAAAAGAGGGUAACAGCUGUGAUUCAUGUCAACCAAUUGAGUUAAAUACAUACAUUUGUGACCACCAUUAAGAAGUCACUCACCCACUGCAACAACGAGGAGUCCGGUGGCACCUUAAAGACUAACAAAUGUAUUUGGGCAUAAAAUUUAGUGGGCAAAAACCCCACUUCUUCAGAUUCAUGGAGUGAAAAUUACAGAUGCAAGCAUUAUUAU